AUGAACGCUGGCGGCGUGCUUAACACAUGCAAGUCGAACGGUGAAGCCCAGCUUGCUGGGUGGAUCAGUGGCGAACGGGUGAGUAACACGUGAGCAACCUGCCCCUGACUCUGGGAUAAGCGCUGGAAACGGCGUCUAAUACUGGAUACGAGACGUGAUCGCAUGGUCAACGUUUGGAAAGAUUUAUCGGUGCAGGAUGGGCCCGCGGCCUAUCAGCUUGUUGGUGGGGUAAUGGCCUACCAAGGCGACGACGGGUAGCCGACCUGAGAGGGUGACCGGCCACACUGGGACUGAGACACGGCCCAGACUCCUACGGGAGGCAGCAGUGGGGAAUAUUGCACAAUGGGCGGAAGCCUGAUGCAGCGACGCCGCGUGAGGGAUGAAGGCCUUCGGGUUGUAAACCUCUUUCAGCAGGGACGAAGCGUGAGUGACGGUACCUGCAGAAGAAGCACCGGCUAACUACGU
rnacentral:rRNA from 1 species